rnacentral:tmRNA from 1 species
GGGGCUGAUUUUGGAUUUGACAGCAAUAUUAGUAAUAAAAGAUAGCAUAUCGUGUCACGUAAGGUAUUACACGAAAAUAAAGCGUUACAAAAUAUAUAAAUGGCGAAAAAGAAUACGCUUUUGCUGCUUAGUAAAUAGCCUUAGUCUGCAAAAAUGCAGAAGCAAAAUAUCUCUCAGAAAUUUUUCCUUAUAAUUUCUGAUCUAGAGGUACUAAUAAGUUUUAAGGAUAAGAAAACAGAUGAUUCUGAGGUUUUCUGAACCUAAAUUUUGAAUCUUCAGUUUUUAUUCUAGAUCCAAAACUGGAAUGGAAAUGUAGAAAUUUUAUUUUGGAUAAGUAUGUAGAAAUCUUUUAUACUACUUGUUUGGACGCGGGUUCGAAUCCCGCCAGCUCCAUUU